GCCCAUGUAGUAUAGUGGUUAGUACUCCACGUUGUGGCCGUGGCGACGCUUGUUCGAUUCCAGCUAUGGGCA
rnacentral:tRNA from 1 species